UUCAAACAGGAGUUAUUCGUUGGACAGUUACCCUAAAUUAAAUAACAAGGCAAGCUAGCGAAAAUGUUCCUGUCGCUGCUUGCCGGUCCCGGUGGGCAGUAAUUUCAC
rnacentral:ncRNA from 1 species